rnacentral:rRNA from 1 species
CCUACGGGUGGCAGCAGUGGGGAAUAUUGGGCAAUGGGCGCAAGCCUGACCCAGCAACGCCGCGUGAAGGAAGAAGGCUUUCGGGUUGUAAACUUCUUUUGUCAGGGACGAAGCAAGUGACGGUACCUGACGAAUAAGUCACGGCUAACUACGUGCCAGCAGCCGCGGUAAUACGUAGGUGGCAAGCGUUAUCCGGAUUUAUUGGGUGUAAAGGGCGUGUAGGCGGGAGCGCAAGUCAGAUGUGAAAACUCAGGGCUCAACCCUGAGCCUGCAUUUGAAACUGUGUUUCUUGAGUGCUGGAGAGGCAAUCGGAAUUCCGUGUGUAGCGGUGAAAUGCGUAGAUAUACGGAGGAACACCAGUGGCGAAGGCGGAUUGCUGGACAGUAACUGACGCUGAGGCGCGAAAGCGUGGGGAGCAAACAGGAUUAGAUACCCCGGUAGUC